rnacentral:rRNA from 1 species
UACGUAGGGGGCAAGCGUUGUCCGGAAUCAUUGGGCGUAAAGAGCGUGUAGGCGGUUCGGUAAGUCGGCUGUGAAAGUCCAGGGCUCAACCCUGGGAUGCCGGUCGAUACUGCCGGACUAGAGUUCGGAAGAGGCGAGUGGAAUUCCUGGUGUAGCGGUGAAAUGCGCAGAUAUCAGGAGGAACACCGGUGGCGAAGGCGGAUCUCUGGGCCGAUACUGACGCUGAGGAGCGAAAGCGUGGGGAGCGAACAGG